rnacentral:rRNA from 1 species
AAUAGAUACCCGGGUAGUCCACGCCGUAAACGAUGAGUGCUAAGUGUUAGAGGGUUUCCGCCCUUUAGUGCUGAAGUUAACGCAUUAAGCACUCCGCCUGGGGAGUACGGCCGCAAGGCUGAAACUCAAAGGAAUUGACGGGGGCCCGCACAAGCGGUGGAGCAUGUGGUUUAAUUCGAGGCAACGCGAAGAACCUUACCAGGUCUUGACAUCCUCUGACAACCCUAGAGAUAGGGCUUCUCCUUCGGGAGCAGAGUGACAGGUGGUGCAUGGUUGUCGUCAGCUCGUGUCGUGAGAUGUUGGGUUAAGUCCCGCAACGAGCGCAACCCUUGAUCUUAGUUGCCAUCAUUCAGUUGGGCACUCUAAGGUGACUGCCGGUGACAAACCGGAGGAAGGUGGGGAUGACGUCAAAUCAUCAUGCCCCUUAUGACCUGGGCUACACACGUGCUACAAUGGACGGUACAAAGAGCUGCAAGACCGCGAGGUGGAGCUAAUCUCAUAAAACCGUUCUCAGUUCGGA